UCUCCUGGAAAAGGGUGGUAAUGCCGGAUGUUCCAGUUGAUCGCAUGGUCUUCUGGGAAAGCUUUCGCGGUAUGGGAUGGGGUCGCGUCCUAUCAGCUUGACGGCGGGGUAACGGCCCACCGUGGCUUCGACGGGUAGCCGGCCUGAGAGGGCGACCGGCCACAUUGGGACUGAGAUACGGCCCAGACUCCUACGGGAGGCAGCAGUGGGGAAUAUUGCACAAUGGGCGCAAGCCUGAUGCAGCGACGCCGCGUGAGGGAUGGAGGCCUUCGGGUUGUAAACCUCUUUUAUCGGGGAGCAAGCGUGAGUGAGUUUACCCGUUGAAUAAGCACCGGCUAACUACGUGCCAGCAGCCGCGGUAAUACGUAGGGUGCAAGCGUUAUCCGGAAUUAUUGGGCGUAAAGGGCUCGUAGGCGGUUCGUCGCGUCCGGUGUGAAAGUCCAUCGCUUAACGGUGGAUCCGCGCCGGGUACGGGCGGGCUUGAGUGCGGUAGGGGAGACUGGAAUUCCCGGUGUAACGGUGGAAUGUGUAGAUAUCGGGAAGAACACC
rnacentral:rRNA from 1 species